rnacentral:rRNA from 1 species
AGAGUUUGAUCAUGGCUCAGAUUGAACGCUGGCGGAAUGCUUUACACAUGCAAGUCGAACGGUAGAGGGGGCAACCCCUCGAGAGUGGCGAACGGGUGAGUAAUAUAUCGGAACGUGCCCAGUCGUGGGGGAUAACGUAGCGAAAGUUACGCUAAUACCGCAUACGAUCUACGGAUGAAAGCGGGGGAUCGCAAGACCUCGCGCGAUUGGAGCGGCCGAUAUCAGAUUAGGUAGUUGGUGGGGUAAAGGCUCACCAAGCCAACGAUCUGUAGCUGGUCUGAGAGGACGACCAGCCACACUGGAACUGAGACACGGUCCAGACUCCUACGGGAGGCAGCAGUGGGGAAUUUUGGACAAUGGACGCAAGUCUGAUCCAGCCAUUCCGCGUGCAGGAUGAAGGCCCUCGGGUUGUAAACUGCUUUUGUACGGAACGAAAAGGUUUCUAUUAAUACUAGGAGCUCAUGACGGUACCGUAAGAAUAAGCACCGGCUAACUACGUGCCAGCAGCCGCGGUAAUACGUAGGGUGCAAGCGUUACUCGGAAUUACUGGGCGUAAAGCGUGCGCAGGCGGUUAUGUAAGACAGAGGUGAAAUCCCCGGGCUCAACCUGGGAACUGCCUUUGUGACUGCAUAGCUAGAGUACGGUAGAGGGGGAUGGAAUUCCGCGUGUAGCAGUGAAAUGCGUAGAUAUGCGGAGGAACACCGAUGGCGAAGGCAAUCCCCUGGACCUGUACUGACGCUCAUGCACGAAAGCGUGGGGAGCAAACAGGAUUAGAUACCCUGGUAGUCCACGCCCUAAACGAUGUCAACUGGUUGUUGGGUCUUCACUGACUCAGUAACGAAGCUAACG